AACGAACGCUGGCGGCAUGCCUAACACAUGCAAGUCGAACGAGACCUUCGGGUCUAGUGGCGCACGGGUGCGUAACGCGUGGGAACCUGCCCUUAGGUUCGGAAUAACUCCCCGAAAGGGGUGCUAAUACCGGAUAAUGUCUUCGGACCAAAGAUUUAUCGCCUUUGGAUGGGCCCGCGUUGGAUUAGCUAGUUGGUAGGGUAAAAGCCUACCAAGGCGACGAUCCAUAGCUGGUCUGAGAGGAUGAUCAGCCACACUGGGACUGAGACACGGCCCAGACUCCUACGGGAGGCAGCAGGGGGGAAUAUUGGACAAUGGGCGAAGGCCUGAUCCAGCAAUGCCGCGUGAGUGAUGAAGGCCUUAGGGUUGUAAGGCUCUUUACCCGGGAUGAUAAUGACAGUACCGGGAGAAUAAGCUCCGGCUAACUCCGUG
rnacentral:rRNA from 1 species